GCCAAAGGAAAAAAAAUCAUUGUGGUCCC
rnacentral:piRNA from 1 species